rnacentral:tRNA from 1 species
GGGGGUAUAGCUCAGUGGUUAGAGGGCAUGCUUAGUAUGCAUUGAGGUCCUAGGUUCAAUCCCCAGUACCUCCA